rnacentral:rRNA from 2 species
UAAACUGAAGAGUUUGAUCAUGGCUCAGAUUGAACGCUGGCGGCAGGCCUAACACAUGCAAGUCGAGCGCGAAAACACUUCGGUGUAAUUAGAGCGGCGGACGGGUGAGUAAUGCUUGGGAAUCUGCCCAGUAGUGGGGGAUAACGUGUGGAAACGCACGCUAAUACCGCAUACGUCUUACGAGAGAAAGCAGGGGAUCUUCGGACCUUGCGCUAUUGGAUGAGCCCAAGUCAGAUUAGCUUGUUGGUGGGGUAAAGGCCCACCAAGGCAACGAUCUGUAGCUGGUCUGAGAGGAUGAUCAGCCACACUGGGACUGAGACACGGCCCAGACUCCUACGGGAGGCAGCA